rnacentral:rRNA from 1 species
AGAGUUUGAUCCUGGCUCAGGAUGAACGCUAGCGGCAGGCUUAACACAUGCAAGUCGAGGGGCAGCACGAGGUAGCAAUACUUUGGUGGCGACCGGCGCACGGGUGCGUAACGCGUAUGCAACCUACCUUUAACAGGGGCAUAACACUGAGAAAUUGGUACUAAUUCCCCAUAACAUUCGAGAAGGCAUCUUCUUGGGUUAAAAACUCCGGUGGUUAAAGAUGGGCAUGCGUUGUAUUAGCUAGUUGGUGAGGUAACGGCUCACCAAGGCAACGAUACAUAGGGGGACUGAGAGGUUAAGGCCCCCCACAUUGGUACUGAGACACGGACCAAACUCCUACGGGAGGCAGCAGUGAGGAAUAUUGGUCAAUGGACGCAAGUCUGAACCAGCCAUGCCGCGUGCAGGAAGACGGCUCUAUGAGUUGUAAACUGCUUUUGUACUAGGGUAAACGCUUCUACGUGUAGGAGCCUGAAAGUAUAGUACGAAUAAGGAUCGGCUAACUCCGUGCCAGCAGCCGCGGUAAUACGGAGGAUCCAAGCGUUAUCCGGAUUUAUUGGGUUUAAAGGGUGCGUAGGCGGUUUGAUAAGUUAGAGGUGAAAUACCGGGGCUCAACUCCGGAACUGCCUCUAAUACUGUUGAACUAGAGAGUAGUUGCGGUAGGCGGAAUGUAUGGUGUAGCGGUGAAAUGCUUAGAGAUCAUACAGAACACCGAUUGCGAAGGCAGCUUACCAAACUAUAUCUGACGUUGAGGCACGAAAGCGUGGGGAGCAAACAGGAUUAGAUACCCUGGUAGUCCACGCAGUAAACGAUGAUAACUCGUUGUCGGCGAUACACAGUCGGUGACUAAGCGAAAGCGAUAAGUUAUCCACCUGGGGAGUACGUUCGCAAGAAUGAAACUCAAAGGAAUUGACGGGGGCCCGCACAAGCGGAGGAACAUGUGGUUUAAUUCGAUGAUACGCGAGGAACCUUACCCGGGCUUGAAAGUUAGUGACGAUUCUGGAAACAGGAUUUCCCUUCGGGGCACGAAACUAGGUGCUGCAUGGUUGUCGUCAGCUCGUGCCGUGAGGUGUCGGGUUAAGUCCCAUAACGAGCGCAACCCCUACCGUUAGUUGCCAUCAGGUCAAGCUGGGCACUCUGGCGGGACUGCCGGUGUAAGCCGAGAGGAAGGUGGGGAUGACGUCAAAUCAGCACGGCCCUUACGUCCGGGGCUACACACGUGUUACAAUGGUAGGUACAGAGGGCCGCUACCCCGUGAGGGGAUGCCAAUCUCGAAAGCCUAUCUCAGUUCGGAUCGGAGGCUGAAACCCGCCUCCGUGAAGUUGGAUUCGCUAGUAAUCGCGCAUCAGCCAUGGCGCGGUGAAUA